UACGGGAGGCAGCAGUGGGGAAUAUUGCACAAUGGGGGAAACCCUGAUGCAGCGACGCAGCGUGCGGGAUGACGGCCUUCGGGUUGUAAACCGCUUUCAGCAGGGAAGAAGCGAAAGUGACGGUACCUGCAGAAGAAGUACCGGCUAACUACGUGCCAGCAGCCGCGGUAAUACGUAGGGUACGAGCGUUGUCCGGAAUUAUUGGGCGUAAAGAGCUCGUAGGUGGUUGGUCACGUCUGCUGUGGAAACGCAACGCUUAACGUUGCGCGGGCAGUGGGUACGGGCUGACUAGAGUGCAGUAGGGGAGUCUGGAAUUCCUGGUGUAGCGGUGAAAUGCGCAGAUAUCAGGAGGAACACCGGUGGCGAAGGCGGGACUCUGGGCUGUAACUGACACUGAGGAGCGAAAGCAUGGGGAGCGAACAGGGAUUAGAUACC
rnacentral:rRNA from 1 species